GCUGGGCUUGGUGGCACACGCCUGUAAUCCCAGCAGCUUGGGAGGCUGAGGCAGGAGCCAGCCUCAGCAACUGUGAGGUGCUAAGCAACUCAGUGAGACCCUGUCUCUA
rnacentral:sRNA from 1 species